AAAUAUGCCGAGAAUGAAAACGCCCUCCUUGUGAUUCUAAAGAUUCAAGCUUAGAUUCUAUACAAUCGUUGAAAAUCAACAGACAGAAAAACAGCCAGUAUUGGCUCAGCAACUAUCAACACUUUGAUUCUAAAGAUUCAAGCUUAGUUUCUAUACAAUCGUUGAAUGUCAACUUACAGAAAAACAGUCAGUAUUGGCUCAGCAACUAUCAACACUCGUGAUCGUCCAAACGUGUUUCCCUUUAUUAUUCACAGUUAACUUCUUAACAUUGACUAAAAUAAAGUGAUGUGAUCGAAUUGCCUAUAUUUUCUAAUUUAUGUGUUUGUGAAUGCAUCUAAGAACGUGAUUAAAUAUUUCGUACUAA